rnacentral:rRNA from 1 species
AUUGAACGCUGGCGGCAGGCCUAACACAUGCAAGUCGAGCGAGAGGCGGACGGGUGAGGAAUGUAUGGGGACCGCCCGAUAGAGGGGGAUAACGAAUGGAAACGGUGGAUAAUACCGCAUACUGUCUGAUAACCCACAUGGGAUUUGCUAGUAGGUAAGGUAAUGGCUCACCUAGGCGACGAUCCCUAGCUGGUCUGAGAGGAUGAUCAGCCCCUCUGGAACUGAGACCCGGCCCAGACGCCUACGGAGGCCGCAGAGGGGACUAUUGGACAAUGGGCUCACGCCUGAUGCAGCCAUGCCGCGUGUAUGAAGAAGGCCCUAGGGGUGUAAAGUACUUUCAGUCGGGAGGCGUUACCGACAGAAGAAGCACCGGCUAACUCCGUGCCAGCAGCCGCGGUAAUUC